AUUCAUAUAUUCUGCACAGCAGAUUUGAAAGAUUUCAGGUGAAAUGAAUCAGCCAGACGAGACAUCGGUGUCAUUGCAGAAACUCGAAGCUCUUAAUGAUGAACUGCAAGGAAGCAUCAAGAAACUGAACUCUGAAUAUGACAAAAA